CAGUCGAACGGAUCCUUCGGGAUUAGUGGCGGACGGGUGAGUAACACGUGGGAACGUGCCCUUUGGUUCGGAACAACUCAGGGAAACUUGAGCUAAUACCGGAUGUGCCCUUCGGGGGAAAGAUUUAUCGCCAUUGGAGCGGCCCGCGUCUGAUUAGCUAGUUGGUGAGGUAAAGGCUCACCAAGGCGACGAUCAGUAGCUGGUCUGAGAGGAUGAUCAGCCACAUUGGGACUGAGACACGGCCCAAACUCCUACGGGAGGCAGCAGUGGGGAAUCUUGCGCAAUGGGCGAAAGCCUGACGCAGCCAUGCCGCGUGAAUGAUGAAGGUCUUAGGAUUGUAAAAUUCUUUCACCGGGGACGAUAAUGACGGUACCCGGAGAAGAAGCCCCGGCUAACUUCGUGCCAGCAGCCGCGGUAAUACGAAGGGGGCUAGCGUUGCUCGGAAUUACUGGGCGUAAAGGGAGCGUAGGCGGACUGUUUAGUCAGAGGUGAAAGCCCAGGGCUCAACCUUGGAAUUGCCUUUGAUACUGGCAGUCUUGAGUACGGAAGAGGUAUGUGGAACUCCGAGUGUAGAGGUGAAAUUCGUAGAUAUUCGGAAGAACACCAGUGGCGAAGGCGACAUACUGGUCCGUUACUGACGCUGAGGCUCGAAAGCGUGGGGAGCAAACAGGAUUAGAUACCCUGGUAGUCCACGCCGUAAACGAUGAGUGCUAGUUGUCGGCAUGCAUGCAUGUCGGUGACGCAGCUAACGCAUUAAGCACUCCGCCUGGGGAGUACGGUCGCAAGAUUAAAACUCAAAGGAAUUGACGGGGGCCCGCACAAGCGGUGGAGCAUGUGGUUUAAUUCGAAGCAACGCGCAGAACCUUACCACCUUUUGACAUGCCUGGACCGCCACAGAGAUGUGGUUUUCCCUUCGGGGACUGGGACACAGGUGCUGCAUGGCUGUCGUCAGCUCGUGUCGUGAAAUGUUGGGUUAAGUCCCGCAACGAGCGCAACCCUCGCGAUUAGUUGCCAUCAGGUUUGGCUG
rnacentral:rRNA from 1 species